CGGGACCCGCACAAGCAGCGGAGCGUGUGGUUUAAUUCGAGGCUACACGAAGAACCUUACCAGGGUUUUGACAUGCAAGUGGUAGGAAUCCGAAAGGUGACCGACCCUUCGGGGAGCUUGCACAGGUGCUGCAUGGCUGUCGUCAGCUCGUGUCGUGAGAUGUUCGGUUAAGUCCGCUAACGAGCGCAACCCUCGUCGUGUGUUAUACGUGUCACACGAUACUGCCGGUAUCAAGCCGGAGGAAGGUGGGGAUGAUGUCAAGUCAGCAUGGCCUUUAUAUCCUGGGCUACACACACGCUACAAUGGCAGAUACAAUAGGUUGCGAAACCGCGAGGUGGAGCCAAUCCUCAAAGUCUGUCUCAGUUCAGAUUGUAGGCUGCAACUCGCCUGCAUGAAGCUGGAAUCUGUAGUAAUCGUGUCUCAAAAUGGCACGGUGAAUAUGUCCCUGCUCCUU
rnacentral:rRNA from 1 species